UCAUCUCUCUCUUAAAAGAGAAACCCCUCCCCUUUCUUACUUUCCCCAUCGCCUUGCCGCUGCUGCCACCACCGAUCGCCACCAGUUCACCGCCAGUCCUUCACUGUAACUGAUAAUGUUUCUAGUUCUUGUAAAUUGAAAUGGAUAACCUGACCUGACAAGACGGAUAAUCCGAACCGAAGCACAAAAUUGAUCAAACCAGCUAAAUGUAUAUCCUAUUUGGACCAUGUAAAUAGCUACAUGUCAACAUUCAAAGCAGUUGGCAAGCAGAAUAUCCAAAUCCUAGAUUCAUUUAUCGUCCCAAUUCAGUUGCAUUCAGUCCUAAUUAAGAACUACUUGAUGGAGCAAAUUAAAUGAAUUCGCGAUGCCAAUGAUUCAAGUAUCCUAGUGUAACUACCAUUUUUGAAAUGUAAGACUAUUUGGGAACUUAAUUUUGGUCGUUAAAUAAAGAGUUUAAGCUAUAUAUGCUUAUAGUUUGUA